UACGGAGGGGGCUAGCGUUGUUCGGAAUUACUGGGCGUAAAGCGCGCGUAGGCGGCUUUGUAAGUUAGAGGUGAAAGCCCAGGGCUUAACCCCUGGAAUUGCCUUUAAGACUGCAUCGCUAGAAUCGUGGAGAGGUGAGUGGAAUUCCGAGUGUAGAGGUGAAAUUCGUAGAUAUUCGGAAGAACACCAGUGGCGAAGGCGACUCACUGGACACGUAUUGACGCUGAGGUGCGAAAGCGUGGGGAGCAACAGG
rnacentral:rRNA from 1 species